rnacentral:lncRNA from 1 species
CCCAGGCAAAUCCACACAGCAUUUCCUACUGCCUAACAAUUGGAAUUCAGAACAAAGCUUGGCAUUAAAAGUGAGGCCAAGUUAGGCUAGCAACCCUGCUUAAGUCACACACAGGCCUUGGCCAUUGUAGGAACAGCGAGAUAAAUUACAAAAAUCCACACACACAAAUUAGACCCCAAACAUGAUCCCUACCUCAACACAGACUAGCUGAAAAGAGCACCAUGAAGGUUAACCAAAAGGACAUGAAAAUGAAGUAACUGAAGAGAAUUUUUCCCUCUCGUCUCCAUCACAAUUAUCACUUCUAAAGGUGACAACCACUACCUGAAGGACUUGACAAAUUUCUCUGGCCACGUGACGAUCCUUUAUGUGCUUCCCAAGU